GAGGCUGUACCGGGGUGCACAGUGAGGUCAACUUCCCCCUUCCCGGGCCUGAACCCUGACACAGGGGUGUGCACCCUAUGGCCAAGCUGGAUGUGUCUCCCGCUGUCCGCCUAUCUGUCUGCUGGGCCCUGGCCCACCGUGGGCUCUGGGCCUCUGCUGGGCUCCCCUGGCACCCAUGGGGCCUGAGUUCUCAUCAACAACCUGCUUCAAGGGCUAUUUAAAGCAAGUGGUGGCCGUGGGAAACUUCUUCAGAUGUGUGGUUUCAUCUCCUUCAGCACAGGGACGGGGUGUCUGCUCGCUCUGGUGACUCAUCCAGAGUGAGAAAAGCCUUUUUGUUGUUUGAUGCUCACUGGAGGCUCUGUAGCCUGAGAACCUGGCCUGAUGGGGCCUUCCCUGCUGGGACUCCUGGGAGGCCUUGGGAGUGCCCAGGGCAGCCCUUUUGUUCCAUCCCCAGACCCAGGGAGCCUGGGGCCAAUGGAGCCCCUGAGGCUGAAAUACUCUGCUUAGGGUGAGGCUGCUUGACUGGUGGGGGGCGGGGGGUGCCCAUUCUCAACACCCAGCUCAGCCACCGCCUCCUCCAAGAAGCCUCCCUGAUUCCUCCAAAACCUCAAUCGAUCUCCACCUUAGCGACUCAGUCCUCUAACCCUCAGUCUUCUUAUCUAUGAAAUGGAGUAGUGGGCCCAAGCUUUACAGAUCUGUGUGAAGAUGAACUGCGGAACACACAGCAGAUGCUCAGUAGGUCUUAUCCUGCCUGUGAGCAGAGUCUGCUGCUAUCCCGGUUCCACAGACAAGGACACGGGGGCUCAAAGAAGGCUGGGAAUGUGGAAGCCUGGGGAUUUGGAAGUCGGCAGGAGCUCCAGCUGCAGGCUGCCAUCAUUUGGGUGCGUUCUUUAUUACUACAGAGCGAUGCUGCAGAGAAACAGGACAUGAGGAUUGGAGAUGGCUGGUCCUGAGCAGACCUUUCAGGGCCUCAGUUUCCUCACCUGUGAAACUGGACACUUGGCCUCCACCAUCCCCCAAGGUUCUCCCAGUUCAGUGGUUCUACAAGAGGAGUGAUGAUAGGUGGCCAAAGGGAGGGGAGCGGGUGGCCAGGACAGGCUGCCCUUUGCUGAGGCCUUUGUGACUCUGUUACCCCAAAUGGAAGCCAGAGAGUAGAAUGACUUAGCCAAGGUCACACAGCAACUCAGUGGGGGAUUGGGGAGGGGAACUCUGCUUGACUGGGCGGGGCAGAACCUGGAGGCUCAGGCAUGUUGGGAAGGAUGGGAGACUGCGGCUGAGCACCCUCACUCCCAGCCCAUCUUCUGAAACACAGACGCGGGGAGAACCAUCUCCACCAAGGCCAGAGCUGCCUGUCUCCAAGCUGAAAGUCAGAAAUUCACUGAAAACUUGAGGUCCUGCUCUGCCCAUUUCCAAAUUUCUGCCCUGGCCCCAGAAUCAUAGGCAUCCCCCCAUUGUACAGAGUGGAAAGCUGAGGCGCAGCAAGGGCAUGGGACUUGUCCAAGGCCUCCCAGGGAGGCCACGCUAAAGCAGGGGCUAGCAUCCUGACUCGUGGUUCUCCGCCCAGUAGCCCCCACCAUGGUCACCAAAUAAUAUUCAUAAUCAUAAUAAUAAUAACAGGCCAGGCACAGUGGCUCACACCUGGGA